AUAAGUAGGACUAAAUCAGUUAAUUUGAACUUCGUGUAUUAUCCUAGUCUUUUGCCCAUGAUAUUACCUAUCCGUUUUACUGUCACAAGCUAACAUGGUUCUUCCUCCCUAUGCCUUACCUAUAUUUUGGCAGGGGUGGUGGUAGAUUGGGUAGAUGAUAAUAGAUGCCUUCAAGUAGACCA